ACUUUUCGUAGGUUUAGUUGUAUAUAACUCCCUGUAAAUAUAUCGAAAAGCAAAUAUAUUUCAAUAAAAUUUAAUUUUUUAUUUUUAUCCCUAUAAAAGUCCAGUAAUAUUCUUAUUUACUCCCUUUUUUUUUUGUUACCGUUAGGGUACUGUUUAUUUUUUAACAGCAGUUAAAUAAAAUAACAUUUUUUUUCCUUACAAAUAUAUCUCUUCAAAAGCCCCAAUUGUUAGAACUAUACAGAAAUAUCCUUCCAAAAAAAUAUUUCUUCGAAUAAUAUAGAAGGGCUAAAAAGGUCAAUUUAACUCAUUCACUAACCAGGAUUAAAUAUUUUACUCAUGGUUAACUAUAUUUUUCUAACAGAUUCUAAUAGUAGGGAUAUAUUUGAAAACGGUAGGACCUAUACAAGGAUAAAAAUAAAAAGUUAAACUUUAUAGGAAUAUAUCUGUUAUUCGAUAUAUUUACAAGAAACUGUAUGCAAUUAAUUCUUUUUUUAUAUAUAUAUAUUUUUUUUUGUAAGAUAUUGAAUUCAAACAAAGGACGAAAGGGGAGCAGUUCUUGAAAGAUUCCAAGUCAAAAACGUGCUCCUAAUGCUGUACAAAGCAAUUAUCCAUCUUUUAGGUAAAAGUGUUCAUAACUUAUCUAAACUAUAAAUUAUUUUUGAGUUUGACUAUCCAAUUUUUAAAAAUUCUGAUUUUAUUAUUCAAUCUUUCAAUUUAUUUGAUUUAAAUAAGUCACCGACACUUUGGACUUUAAAUUUUAAGGUAACUAUUUUAUAAAGCAUAUUAACUAAACGGCACAUUCAAAUUUUAAAGACAAAAUAUUAUUGACCGAUUAAAAUCAAACAAAAAUUAAAAUUUUGAAAGCCUAAAUAGGUGAUUUCAAAUAAUUCAUAAUUCAAAUACAUUAUAUAUAUAUAUAUAUAUAUAUAUAUAUAUAUAGNGUGUAGUGUUGAAGAGUUUUAUAGAGACUUUGAUUUGUGGCUUUGAUAAAACAUGUAAUUUGGUAUUUUAUUUUCAGCCGACUUGGCAGCGUAUUUUCAUUUCGGCCCCUGUGGUUUUAAUAAUUGCACUUUGCUUUCUUGUGGUUUAGCUCUUUUUUUUAUUUAGUCAAAAAGUUACAACUAAUUAUUCUGUGAUUUAGCGUUGCCACUUUAUUAUUUUUUACAAAAUUUUUUAUGCUGCCAUUUUAUUUGAUAUAAAUUUUUUUGGAGAGAUAAAAAUUAAACUAAGAGAAACAAAUUAAUUAUAACUUUUUAAACGACGGAAGGGCAUUAUAAAAAUAAGCUAAAGUAGAAGGGAGCAAUUUGAAGUUUACCUUUUUUUUUUUUCAAUUCUUCAGCGUAGUUUUAUUUUGGUCCUCAAACUUUUAGCUUCAACGUUGUCGGCCCUUAAUCUCUUAAAAUGCUAUACUUUAGUCUCUACAUAUAUUUAUUAUUAGAGAAUAUAUAUUUAUGUACCAUGUAUUUGUCAACUAUUUUUCUGUCACAUAUACUACUUGAGUUAUAGUGUUUUCAUAAUAUAAAAAGUUUAUAUUUGUGAAUUGGAUAUAUAAAUGGAUGAAAAAAAAAAUGAUAAUAUAUAAAUUGAAUAUAUAAGGACUACAAUUAAUGAAACACUUUUGAUUUUAGGGAUAAAAUUGAAACUAAACUAAAAGUAUAGGGCCUCUAAUGUCGAAAUGUAAGAGAAUGCUAAGUCUACAACCCAAAGGAGCCGAUGUAAUCUUUAUAACUUCUAAUUAAUCCAAUAGUUUAAGAAUUUAAACAAUCUUUUUAACUUUUAGUUAAAAUAAUAAUAAGAUUAAUGUGUUAAUUAUAGUCCUUAGAUGGGCUAAGUUGUAAGGUUACAAUUCAAAUAGGAUUGUACACUUAGCUUCAAAGUGAAGCAAUUAAAAUGUGAAAAUGAAACUUAGCUUCAAAGUUUGGGGACCAGCAGUGCAGUUUACUUUUCUUAGGUUUAGUUGUAUAUAACUCCCUGUAAAUAUAUCGAAAAGCAAAUAUAUCCCAAUAAAGUUUAAUUUUUUAUUUUUAUCUCUAUAAAAAUUCAGUGAUAUUCUUAUUUGCUCCUCUUUUUUGUUACCGUUAGAGUACUGUUUAUUUUUUAAUAGCAGUUAAGUAAAAUGACAUUUUUUUUCCUUACAAAUAUAUCCCUUCAAAAGCCCCGAUAGUUAGAACUAUACAGAAAUAUCCUUCCAAAAAAAUAUUUCUUCGAAUAAUAUAAAAGGGCUAAACAGGUCAAUUUAACUCAUUCACUAACCAGGAUUAAAUAUUUUACUCAUGAUUAACUAUAUUUUUCUAACAGAUUCUAAUAGUAGGGAUAUAUUUGAAAACGGUAGGACCUAUACAAGGAUAAAAAUAAAAAGUUAAACUUUGUAGAAAUAUAUCUGUUAUUCGAUAUAUUUACCAGAAACUGUAUGCAAUUAAUUUUUUUUUAUAUAUAUAUAUUUUGUA
rnacentral:lncRNA from 1 species